UACGAAGGGGGCUAGCGUUGCUCGGAAUCACUGGGCGUAAAGGGUGCGUAGGCGGGUCUUUAAGUCAGGGGUGAAAAUCCUGGAGCUCAACUCCAGAACUGCCUUUGAUACUGAAGAUCUUGAGUUCGGGAGAGGUGAGUGGAACUGCGAGUGUAGAGGUGAAAUUGUAGAUAUUCGCAAGAACACCAGUGGCGAAGGCGGCUCACUGGCCCGGUACUGACGCUGAGGUGCGAAAGCGUGGGGAGCAACAGG
rnacentral:rRNA from 1 species